rnacentral:rRNA from 1 species
UACGAAGGGGGCUAGCGUUGCUCGGAAUUACUGGGCGUAAAGCGCACGUAGGCGGAUUGUUAAGUCAGGGGUGAAAGUCCUGGAGCUCAACGUCCAGAACUGCCUUUGAUACUGGCGAUCUCGAGUCCGGGAGAGGUGAGUGGAACUGCGAGUGUAGAGGUGAAAUUCGUAGAUAUUCGCAAGAACACCAGUGGCGAAGGCGGACUCACU